rnacentral:rRNA from 1 species
UAGGGAAUCUUCGGCAAUGGACGAAAGUCUGACCGAGCAACGCCGCGUGAGUGAAGAAGGUUUUCGGAUCGUAAAACUCUGUUGUUAGAGAAGAACAAGGACGUUAGUAACUGAACGUCCCCUGACGGUAUCUAACCAGAAAGCCACGGCUAACUACGUGCCAGCAGCCGCGGUAAUACGUAGGUGGCAAGCGUUGUCCGGAUUUAUUGGGCGUAAAGCGAGCGCAGGCGGUUUCUUAAGUCUGAUGUGAAAGCCCCCGGCUCAACCGGGGAGGGUCAUUGGGAACUGGGGGACUUGAGUGCAGAAGAGGAGAGUGGAAUUCCAUGUGUAGCGGUGAAAUGCGUAGAUAUAUGGAGGAACACCAGUGGCGAAGGCGGCUCUCUGGUCUGUAACUGACGCUGAGGCUCGAAAGCGUGGGGAGCAAACAGG